rnacentral:misc_RNA from 1 species
UAGUCGUAACAAGGUUUCCGUAGGUGAACCUGCGGAAGGAUCAUUAUUAAAAAAGUUCAAGAGUGCACUUCAUUGUGGCUCUAACCUUUUUCAAUAUACCUUUCACCCUUUUUUUAAACCCAAAGCUGUUAUGUGUGCCCUCUUUUUGAGGUAUAGCAUCUCAGUAGUACGCAUCAUGUGGAUUUUUAUAACUCACAAGUUGCAUUACCCCCCUUUUUUUAAAUUUAACACUAUAAAAAAGUUUUUAGAAUGUAAACCCCCCUUUAAUUAAUAUAAC